rnacentral:misc_RNA from 1 species
CAGUUAUAAUUUUGCUACAAAUUUUGGAUGCAAUAUGCUGAUUAUCAAAUUGCAUCUGACAGUCUUCUAUUCUUCUCCACACACUUUCCUCAAUCUCACACAACAUAACCCGAGAUAAAAUAUGAAAACGAAAAAGAGUGAGAAGAAUAGAUAACUAUAUGGACUACCCUGUGUUCUAAAAUUCAACAAGAGAUUAUCAUGUGGCAAAACUUUAUCAAAUUAUUUCAGGGGCUGAUAUAUAUGAUUUUUGUGUGAUGAUUCCAAUCUCCAACUGCUUGGUCAUCCAUUUAGCAUCAUUACAUUCUGGUGCCUGCAUUGCUAACAGAGGAUAAGAUGAUCACCAUCUCUAAUGAGCUCUAAAUCGUCAAUUUCGGCCCCGUCUUUGGUUAGAAUUUUGGUGGGUAUGAAUCCAAAUUUUUUCGCACCCAUAUCUAGUAGUUCUUCAAGUGACUUUGGCAACAGAAUAAG